rnacentral:lncRNA from 1 species
CUUUUCAGUAAUUCUGGUUUCACAACAGUCAUUGACUAGAAGAGUAAGUGUAAAUUCAGCAUCCUUCUCUAUCAGUAUGUAGAAAGGAAGAGCACAACUCCAGAUCUCAAAAAGCUCGAGGAGGGAAACACCCCUUUGUUGGAGUUUCAGGAAAAUGGUUGUAAAUUAAGGCCUUUUUAUUUGCAAUGUGUGUAAGCUGAUUAACAUGUGGGAAUUUACAACAGGUAUCUGGUUAGAAGGUUUUUUUUAAGGUGGCCAGAUAAACUGUCAGAGAGCUUGAGAAACAUCUUGCUAUGUGUAUUGUAAUUUCAAUAAAGGAUCAUUCACUCAAAGUGUAGGAAGUGAUUUUAGAUGCUGUUCUAUUUUGGCGGCAUUAUAGAUAAAAUAUUUAUCUUGUUGUAUGUAUGUACAGUUGUGCUCAACAGUUUGCAUACCCUGGCAGAAAUUGUACAUUUUGGCAUUGAUAUUCAAAAUAUGACUGAUCAUGCUAAAAAAAAAAUAUUUUUGGGAAGGAUAGUGAUCAUAUGAAGCCAUUUAUUAUUACAUAGUUGUUUGGCUUCUUUUUAAAUCAUAAUGACAACAGAAUUCACCCAAAUAAUCCUGAUCAAAAGUUUACAUACCCUUGAAUGUUUGGUGUUGUUACAGACACACAAGGUGACACACACAAGUUAAAAUGGCAAUUAAAGAUUAAUUUCCCACACCUGUGGCUCUUUAAAUUGCAAUUAGUGUCUGUGUAUGAAUUGUCAAUGUGUUUGUUAGCUCUCACAUGGAUUCACUGAACAGGCUAGAUACUGUGCCAUGGGGAGCAGAAAAGAACUGUCAAAAGACAUGCGUAACAAGAUAAUGGAACUUUAUAAAGAUGGAAAAGGAUAUCCAAAACCUUGAAUAUGCCAGUCAGUACUGUUCAAUCACUUAUUAAGAAGUGGAAAACUCUGGGAUCUCUUGAUAAGAUUGCCAAGGUCAGGUAGACCAAGAAAGAUUUCAGCCACAACUGCCAGAGGAAUUGUUCAGAAAAACCCACAGGUUACCUCAGGAGAAAUGCAGGCUGCUCUGGAAAAAGAUGGUGUGGUUGUUUAAAUGAGCACAAUACUAAAUCUUAUUGAGCAUCUGUGGGGCAUCCUCAAACGGAAGGUGGGGGAGUGCAGGGUCUCUAACAUCCAGAGGAGGAGUGGAAGAGGACUUCAGUGGCAACCUGUGACGCUCUGGUGAUCUCCAUGUCCAUGAGGGUUAAGGCAGUGCUGGAAAAUAAUGGUGAGUUCAUAUAUAACUCAAGGUAAGAACCAAUUAAUAAUUUCAAUCAUUGGUGAACUUAUCUUUCCAUUCAUGAAUGAUGGGAGUUGAAGUCCUUUCCAGAAUAGAAUGAAUUAUGGUUCCUUGAAGUAAGUGAAGAGAGAUAAGAAUCCAAAGUUAAGUUUGUUCCUUGAGAGGGAGAGGGGAGUAGAGCGUAGCCAGGAUAAAUGCCAGAGGUUUGGUACAUAGGAUAUCAGGUCAGCAGAGUUCUGUAGCGAAGCAGCAACAAAGUAGCAAGUAGCUAGAGCACAUCAAACCACAAGAGAGAU